GGCUGGAAGUUCAGUGCAUAGGGUAAGUCAACACCUGUUUAUCAGUGUUUAUUUACAGUCACAGUGUUUAACCUCACACUUCACGUGCAGCUGAGAAGGAGGACAGGGUAAAGGAAAUGCACCAUACCGUGGCGUAGGGCACGGCCAACAGGCUGCAGCUCCAGACCCGGCGGUGUUGAGAGCUCAGUGGAGGAUACGUUUGGCUCGGAUCAGGAGGAUCCUAUAGGCUCUUGCCGGAGUUUCUGCACAUGUGUUUCACUGACUGUGUUUAGCCUGCAGCCGAGAAGCUGACGGAAGGUGAGCUGCAUGAUGGCAGGCUGAUCGCCGAUCAGAAGGUACUAUACUGAAAUACUCCACCCCGGUCAGAGUAACUCUUCUGCACUGUAGCUUUGUAGAUAGAAGUUGUUUUAGUUUGAGAUGGCGUUGUCACCCUCAGGUUCGAGUUUAGCGCAGAAGAAGCGUUACAGGAACUUGUCAUUAAUGUCUCACUGUGACCCGAAAGCUGCUUGUUGGAUGUUUAAUGUAAGAUUAGAAAGUUCAGCUGGUUUAUCUCCUCUCAGGUGUGUGUAAAAGAGAACCUGGCUGUGUCCUUGCAGCGUGUGAUUUCUAUUUCAUCUGUGUUUUCAGAAGGAGGGGGAAGAUUGAGGAGCCAAUUUUUAUUUUGUUUUUUGCUAAAUAAAAGGUUUCUUUAAACAACCAACACCUGCCUGACUGUACGAGUUAUUUACAUGAACCAGUCGCAGGAACGUCUUGCUAUUAGGGAUGUGAAAGUGAUAAUAUCUUUUUGUACACAGCGUAAUAGAACUGAGGCAUCAGGAAUCCCAAAUAUAGUAAUGAGUGGGCAAGGUUUUAAAUCUACUCUGAGAAUAGUGGACAUGACAGUAAAGAAACCAGUCCAAAAACCAUGGAGAUCAGGGCAAAAUAAAAACAUAUGGCCAAGAUGACAGGGAGAGCCAUGGCAUUUAUCACACUUGUCCUCUACUUCUGGAUAUAUUACAGAAAGUCUCGACUUAGACAAAUGGACUCUGUGUAAAACUUUGAACUGGAUGAGUCCAAG
ensembl:lncRNA